UAUAUAUAUAUAUAUAUAUAUAUGCAGUAUAUAAAGAGGAAAUGUCUUAACCGUUUUUGUUUAAUUACACUGGAUAUAAAUGCAGUAUUUGUUGUACAGCUCAACACUGUACUUUAACUUCAUCCUGUUUGGAGUUGGAUUGUGUCACAUGAUCAAAGGGUUUACGGUGCACACAUUAACACGGUAUUUUCACAUAAACCUGUAUCUGCAAACCUAUAAAGAAAUAGCCAUCACAGUGAAAGACUUAAAGCACAAAUGCUAUUCUUAUUUUUUACCUUUAUUUUCAGGUCCUUCUUUGUUUGUAUUGAAAUUAUCAGCUUGUUUUUACAAAUUAUAAAAUUAUCGCACCAUAUGAUCUUGUUUCAAUGUUGAGGUAAAAUGAAAAUGGCUUAGAAGUAUAUUUAUUCUCUUCCUUUAUGAAAAUAGUGUAAAAAAACAGCUGAAUCUUGUAAAACAGAAUAUGUGGCUUUUACUUGAAUGAGACACAGUAUAGUUGUUAAUGUUGUCGGGUUCAUUUCGAAGCACCAACUGUCUUUUUUUAAUUAGUCAAAAAUGUACCUUAAAAGAUCAGUGUUUGCAAUCAAAUUACUUACUUUAUAAAACAGAGAGGGUGUGAACAAAUGUAACUAUUCUAGAACAGAAUUGGUGUGUGUAUAUUUGGAGAAAAUAGCAAACCUUUUUGUUCUGUAGAGCCGGUGUGUCGUCAGUAUUUGCACACGCGUGUUUGACGAUGUGCAGAGAGUAUGAUUGUGCUGCAUGUCAAAAUUAACUUGUAUUAUUUUGCGGUGGCCAUUUUACAGAUAUUCAUACUUUUUAAUCAGUGGAACCACUUUUCCAGACUUCCUACAGCUUAUUUAUUUGAAUCAAGUUGCUGAUGAAAACAGUUGCAAUACUUAUUGUGGUGACAUUCUGCAGUUGCGAAGCAGUUAAAGGGGACUUUCAACAUUUUUCAACCUGUUGUGGGUUUAUUUUUUCACUGGGGGAGGACAUUAAUUUGCUAGUAAUUGUGAAAGCUAAAAACACUCAGUAAACCACUACUUGACAUCACUGAACAGGCACAAAAUUUAUUCUAUUCAUUUAUAUAG